rnacentral:rRNA from 1 species
UACGUAGGGGGCAAGCGUUGUCCGGAUUUAUUGGGCGUAAAGAGCGUGUAGGCGGUCAGGUAGGUCCGUUGUGAAAACUCGAGGCUCAACCUCGAGACGCCGAUGGAAACCAUCUGACUAGAGUCCGGAAGAGGAGAGUGGAAUUCCUGGUGUAGCGGUGAAAUGCGCAGAUAUCAGGAAGAACACCCGUGGCGAAGGCGGCUCUCUGG